GCACACACUUCACUGACCUGAUUUCUCUCUGUAUGAGUACUGUUAUUUCUACACAAAUAAGUGAAGGUUAAUUAGCAGUAUAACUAAAGAGUAAUGCCAUCAGUCUCCCUCAGAUGAAU
rnacentral:snoRNA from 1 species